ACAGUGACACCACAAUGAGGGAAACCCUUCACAGGAAGAGAGCGGUUAACUGAAGGAAGGUUAACUGGACUCAAGGAUCUGGCCUCCAAGCUGUUGUCGUGCACGACGGGGUGAGCUUCUGUAGCUGCUUCUGGGUUACUCUCAUCAAUCCUCUACAACGUUAAAGUUCUGCCACACAGCCCUUUGGAUCUGUUUUCCCAGCAACUGCUUCUUGAUUACAGGUCUGGAAAUCAUCAGUGUCCCCGAAGCCUACAUUGUUCUGCACCCCAGUUAUGAUCCCUUGUUGCCCAGGACCUAACAGGCUUCUCUUCCAUCAUGAGUCUCAUACUUGAGCAUCCCUGAGUGAAAUAAUUUCAAGAGAAACACACACAAAUAUACUGAGUACAAGCUUUCCAGAAAGAAUUGUAUGUGGCUGUGCUUAGGUUGGAUCAGACAUAAGAGAGUAUUUUCUCAUGCUAAUGACUGAGGAUGGGGCACUGUGGUGUGUGGUGAUAUUUUGUUCAUUCUCUAACAAAUAAAGCUUGCCUGGAGAUCAGAGUACGGAGCUAGCCACUAGUUAACUAUAGAGGCCAGGCAGUGGUGGCACACACCUUUGAUCCCAGGACCUGGGAGAAGAAAACAGGAAGUGAUAUGGCUGGGCAGAGAGAGGAUGAUAAGGCAGGUGGAGACAAGGAGCUCCGACCUCCCUUUCAGACUGAGGAGUUGGCUAGGUAAGAGGUGGCUGUGGCUGGCUCCUUUGUCUCUCUGAUCUUUCAGCAUUUACCCCAAUAUCUGACUCUGGGAUUUUAUGAUUAAGGCCAGUUAGGAUUCGUGUUACAGGAGACUUAACAAGGCCUAUUUAUUUCAUGGAUUGUUUUCUUCUCAAACUUCUGAGGGUGAUAUUAACACUACAAUUUACCAACCACUUAUCAAAUGCAUUGCAUUUUAAAUACACGUUGCCUCUAGUUAUUAACAAUA